CCAAUGGCACUGCCCGGUAGCUAAAUGCGGAAGAGAUAAGUGCUGAAAGCAUCUAAGCACGAAACUUGCCCCGAGAUGAGUUCUCCCUGACCCUUUAAGGGUCCUGAAGGAACGUUGAAGACGACGACGUUGAUAGGCCGGGUGUGUAAGCGCAGCGAUGCGUUGAGCUAACCGGUACUAAUGAACCGUGAGGCUUAACCUUACAACGCCGAAGGUGUUU
rnacentral:rRNA from 1 species